UGCAGUCGAACGAUGAACCNCUUCGGUGGGGANUAGUGGCGAACGGGUGAGUAACACGUGGGCAAUCUGCCCUGCACUCUGGGACAAGCCCUGGAAACGGGGUCUAAUACCGGAUACUGACCUUCACAGGCAUCUGUGAGAGUCGAAAGCUCCGGCGGUGCAGGAUGAGCCCGCGGCCUAUCAGCUUGUUGGUGAGGUAAUGGCUCACCAAGGCGACGACGGGUAGCCGGCCUGAGAGGGCGACCGGCCACACUGGGACUGANACACGGCCCAGACUCCUACGGGAGGCAGCAGUGGGGAAUAUUGCACAAUGGGCGAAAGCCUGAUGCAGCGACGCCGCGUGAGGGAUGACGGCCUUCGGGUUGUAAACCUCUUUCAGCAGGGAAGAAGCGAAAGUGACGGUACCUGCAGAAGAAGCGCCGGCUAACUACGUGCCAGCAGCCGCGGUAAUACGUAGGGCGCGAGCGUUGUCCGGAAUUAUUGGGCGUAAAGAGCUCGUAGGCGGCUUGUCACGUCGGUUGUGAAAGCCCGGGGCUUAACCCCGGGUCUGCAGUCGAUACGGGCAGGCUAGAGUUCGGUAGGGGAGAUCGGAAUUCCUGGUGUAGCGGUGAAAUGCGCAGAUAUCAGGAGGAACACCGGUGGCGAAGGCGGAUCUCUGGGCCGAUACUGACGCUGAGGAGCGAAAGCGUGGGGAGCGAACAGGAUUAGAUACCCUGGUAGUCCACGCCGUAAACGGUGGGCACUAGGUGUGGGCAACAUUCCACGUUGUCCGUGCCGCAGCUAACGCAUUAAGUGCCCCGCCUGGGGAGUACGGCCGCAAGGCUAAAACUCAAAGGAAUUGACGGGGGCCCGCACAAGCGGCGGAGCAUGUGGCUUAAUUCGACGCAACGCGAAGAACCUUACCAAGGCUUGACAUACACCGGAAACGUCUGGAGACAGGCGCCCCCUUGUGGUCGGUGUACAGGUGGUGCAUGGCUGUCGUCAGCUCGUGUCGUGAGAUGUUGGGUUAAGUCCCGCAACGAGCGCAACCCUUGUCCCGUGUUGCCAGCAGGCCCUUGUGGUGCUGGGGACUCACGGGAGACCGCCGGGGUCAACUCGGAGGAAGGUGGGGACGACGUCAAGUCNNNNNNNNNNNNNNNNUNUUGGGCUGCACACGUGCUACAAUGGCCGGUACAAUGAGCUGCGAUACCGCGAGGUGGAGCGAAUCUCAAAAAGCCGGUCUCAGUUCGGAUUGGGGUCUGCAACUCGACCCCAUGAAGUCGGAGUCGCUAGUAAUCGCAGAUCAGCAUUGCUGCGGUGAAUACGUUCCCGGGCCUUGUACACACCGCCCGUCACGUCACGAAAGUCGGUAACACCCGAAGCCGGUGGCCCAACCCCNNNNNGNANGNAGC
rnacentral:rRNA from 1 species